AGAGGUACAACAUAUGCAUUUCAAAGAGAACUGGAAGAGCUAGCACCAAAGAGCCCCAACUCACCUCCACAAUCAAGUUCUACAUGCAAUUCACGGAUAGUGGUUGUCGGCACAUCUUUUAACCAAGUCACCUCCAUUGAUCCUUUUGUUGACAAGCAGCUAGACCCAAGACCCAAGGUACCAAACAAAAUAAGAAAGGCAUCAAAACUCCUAGGAAUCUUGCUAGAUAUGAGCAUCUCUUUUGCAUGAC